UACGGAGGGUGCAAGCGUUAUCCGGAUUCACUGGGUUUAAAGGGUGCGUAGGUGGGCAGGUAAGUCAGUGGUGAAAUCUCCGGGCUUAACUCGGAAACUGCCAUUGAUACUAUCUUUCUUGAAUACCGUGGAGGUCAGCGGAAUAUGUCAUGUAGCGGUGAAAUGCGUAGAUAUCGGGAGGAACACCUGUGGCGAAAGCGGCUUACUAGACGACAACUGACGCUGAGGCGCGAAAGCUAGGGGAGCAAACAGG
rnacentral:rRNA from 1 species